rnacentral:rRNA from 1 species
UACGAAGGGGGCUAGCGUUGCUCGGAAUCACUGGGCGUAAAGCGUGCGUAGGUGGCGCGUUAAGUGAGAUGUUAAAUCGUGUGGCUCAACCAUAUCGUUGCAUCUCAUACUGGCGUGCUAGAGGACAGCAGAGGCAAGUGGAAUUACGAGUGUAGCAGUAAAAUGCGUAGAGAUUCGUAGGAACACCAAUGGCGAAGGCAGCUUGCUGGGCUACUCCUGACACUGAGGUACGAAAGCGUGGGGAGCGAACAGG